ensembl:lncRNA
GGUUUACAGCAUUAUAUGGAGAAGAGAAGAGUGAGGAGGGAGUUAGAGGUGACCCAAAUGAGAUGAAGUGGAGUCAAUAGAGGAGAGAGUGGGCUAUUCAGUAAUCUCUGCCUUAUGUGCACUCCACAACUGGACCGCUCAGAGUUGUUGACAGAGUUAUACAGAGAAGAGAAGAAGAAAGAAGGUGGCAUAGGUGGCCAGGAGGAUAAAUGGGGGGAAUGAAAAGGAGGGAGACAGAUCCAGCCAAUAAUCAGUUCCCUAAGUGUUCUCCACCGUUUGGAACACACAGAAAUUCACAGAGUUGGGUAGAGUAGAGAGGGGUUAGGGAGGAGACACAGGCGACCUAGUGGAGAAAAAGGAGAGUCCAAAGGGAGAGAGAGCAGUUAAGCCAGUAAUCUCGCUCCCUAGUGAAAAAUGGGUACUGAAGAUUGGGUUCUUAAAGGUACAAAAUUGGUAACAAAUACAUAAAAGCAAAAAUUAAAAAUCUAGAGUAGAGUUUGGAAUUUCAAAAAUACGAUGUUAAAGAAAAGAAGAUGGAAAAGAAAGAGAGAAAAAAUGAACAAAAACAAACAAGGUCGCAAAAAUUAUAAAGAAAAUAUAGGUACAAAAUUGAUAACUAAUACCAAAAAGCAAAAGUUAAAAAUCUACAGUAGAGUUUGGAAUUUCAAAAAUACAAUGUUAAAA